CCUACGGGAGGCAGCAGUGGGGAAUAUUGCACAAUGGGGGAAACCCUGAUGCAGCGACGCCGCGUGAGUGAAGAAGUAUUUCGGUAUGUAAAGCUCUAUCAGCAGGGAAGAAAAUGACGGUACCUGAUUAAGAAGCCCCGGCUAACUACGUGCCAGCAGCCGCGGUAAUACGUAGGGGGCAAGCGUUAUCCGGAUUUACUGGGGGUAAAGGGGGCGUAGACGGCAGCACAAGUCUGGAGUGAAAUGCCGGGGCUUAACCUCGGAACUGCUUUGGAAACUGUGCAGCUAGAGUGCAGGAGAGGUAAGUGGAAUGCCUAGUGUAGCGGUGAAAUGCGUAGAUAUUAGGAGGAACACCAGUGGCGAAGGCGGCUUACUGGACUGUAACUGACGUUGAGGCUCGAAAGCGUGGGGAGCAAACAGGAUUAGAUACCCCUGUAGUC
rnacentral:rRNA from 1 species